rnacentral:piRNA from 1 species
UAGAAAUUCCUAGUGUGUCUGACAGAA